rnacentral:rRNA from 1 species
AUUGAACGCUGGCGGCAGGCCUAACACAUGCAAGUCGAACGAGUGGCGGACGGGUGAGUAAUGUCUGGGAAACUGCCCGAUGGAGGGGGAUAACCACUGGAAACGGUAGCUAAUACCGCAUACCAUCGGAUGUGCCCAGAUGGGAUUAGCGAGUGGGUGGGGUAAGGGCUCACCUAGGAGACGACCACUAGCUGGUCUGAGAGGAUGACCAGCCAGACUGGAACUGUGACACGGCCCAGACUCCGACGGGAGGAAGCAGUGGGGAAUAGUGCACAAUGGGGGCAAGACUGAUGCAGCCAUGCCGCGUGUAUGAAGAAGGCCUUCGGGUUGUAAAGUACUUUCAGCGUGGAGGCGUUACCCGCAGAAGAAGCACCGGCUAACUCCGUGCCAGCAGCCGCGGUAAUUC